GAUGCCCUCAUAAUACAUGCUGGAGAGGGAAUCCUAGCAAGAAUUUGAUUGUGUGUAUCUAUGUGUGUAUUACCUAUAGGUAUAGGUAUAUAUAUUAGAAAUUCACAAGUAUUCACAAGUCUAAGUCAAAACAUCUAUCACUGGAUGCAAAAAAAUUCCUUGCAGCAAGAUCAGUUUUUGCAAUAAACUAAAUAAUCCCAACCCUUUAAGUAGGUGACCAUAGUUAACAUUCACAUUUCCUUACACUUUGCAAGUGGUGAAUGGGAGGUCUGAUUAAACAUGAUACAAAAAGAGCUUGCAAGUAGCACUGUUUACUAACAUUUCAAUUUCUAUGCCUCAUUUAUUAGACUUAGAAUAAAAAGGUUAGAGGGCUGUUUGGGAUUGUCUUUAACCUUGAUGAUAUUUCCACUGAAGCAGCAUAAUGGCUCUUAAUUGCUUAAGUGAAGAGAACAUGUUGACAUGUCCUUCUUUGUGCUUAAAGCUCUGUGCCUAAAGCAUUAUGCUAAUUCAAGCAUUAUAUAUACCAAAGUAUUUAUGGGACUGACACAAGUGAUGUUGCAGGUAAAGGGCUGUGAAAUGGUCUGUAAACAGAGAGAAUUGAUUCCAGGCCCAAAGCAAUGCUGUUAAAGUCACAGACAUUGAACAGCCAGCCCUACAAUUUCUAUCCAGAUUGUCAAACUGGGUCAGACAGUGUCAGCAGGGCUGCCAUUAUAGAUCAGAUGGGUGGUUUAAUAAUAUGUAAACCAACCACAUAAAUGGAAAUUAACGUGGAAACAUUGAGUACCUGAUUCUGGCUUUUUUUUUUUUUUUUUGCACAGCCCUUUUGGUUACGGAAUUCUGGAUUGCAACAUUUGCUAAAACAUUUAGGUGUAAAAAAGUAAAUCAGCAUUAUGGAUUGUAAUUGUAUUUCCCUAAGUCAAGAGAGCAGCAGUGCAGCCUGAAGAAAUCACAGAAGAAUAUGUGCAUCAUUUAAAUCUUUGUGCAACAAUAUAAAAUAAAAAAAUCCACAGAUUUGACCCACUAGUCUUAUACAUUGUCUGCCUUUUCAUACUAGGGAAUGAGGUUAAUAUGUAAAAGAGCACUGUUACUUUUAAAAUAAAACAGUUUUCAAAUAUCUUUUUACAUGGUUUACUAAUAACCACAGGCUCCCAAAACUGAAACAUUUUUAAAAGUCUAAUUUGCAUCUCAUCCUUUUAUGCCAUUUAUUUACUUUUUGUAUUUCACUCACAUAAAUCAAUGAAAUUAGAAAAGUUUUUUUUCUACUUAUUUUCACUCUAGGUUCUGAGGUACUAGCCCAAUUAUUUUCUGUUUCACUUUAAACUGAUACAGAAGUAUGUUUAAAUCUCUCACUCAUAUCUAAUGUAUUUUCAUUCAAUAUAUUUUUAUAUAUUUUUAAUGUCAUGAAAACAUUUAAAUUCGUACUCGAAUUCAUGUGUAAAGUGUAAGUUCAGACAAAAAUCUUAUAUUCAUAGUUGUUUGUAAGGAACUAGCAUACUUUGGACAUGAUUGAAAUAAUAUUAAAUAAUAACCAUAAAAAAGAUUUUGUAACACCUCUUUCCUUUUUAGAAAAAUCUAAAAGUUGAACCUAAUCUCAUGUGUGUCCUUUGAAAUGCUACGUGUUUCGCUCUGAUUUAGAAGUGAUUCAGCAAGAGGGAUAUUUUUGAUUAAAUGGACCUUGUUGCACAGGAAAAAUCUGGACAAGUUGCUGCCUGUUUCUUCAAACUCCUCCUUCACAACAAGGUGCUGUUUCUCCCAGCAGGGUACACUGCAAGGUGAUCAUUCACUUCCUGUUACACUCCAAACUGGGAAAUGGAGAGGUCUACAAAAAUGGAAAAAUAAAACAACAAAAUUGAACCAGACUCUUUAAAAACUUCAUAUGGUGGAUUGGUUGAGAUUUCUUGGUGGCGGAGGGUUAUGGAAUCAAGACAAGGGUGGAAGACCUGGGAGAUAUCUGCUAUGCACAGACAAUUACAAUGGGCUCAAAACCCCAGAACAUUUACCUUUUCCAACUGAAUGACUCUAUAAAAUGGACACCUGCCAUGUUCCUAGCAUGAAUCAUUGUACUUAGAGGCACACACAAGUGGAGAGCAGUCACGGCUAGUUGGCCACUGAUGUAUCAGAUGCAAUGUCUGUACAGGGUUCA